rnacentral:tRNA from 1 species
GAGUGUAUAGCUCAGUGGUAGAGUACAUGCUAGGCAUGCAGGAGGUCCUGGGUUCAAUUCCCUGUACCUCU